rnacentral:rRNA from 1 species
UGAGGAAUAUUGGUCAAUGGGCGUAAGCCUGAACCAGCCAAGUCGCGUGAGGGAAGACGGCCCUAUGGGUUGUAAACCUCUUUUGUCGGGGAGCAAAGCCGCCCACGUGUGGGCGGAAGGAGAGUACCCGAAGAAAAAGCAUCGGCUAACUCCGUGCCAGCAGCCGCGGUAAUACGGAGGAUGCGAGCGUUAUCCGGAUUUAUUGGGUUUAAAGGGUGCGUAGGCGGCAUGGUAGGUCAGCGGUCAAAUCGAGGGGCUCAACCCCUUUCCGCCGUUGAAACUGCCGUGCUUGAGUGGGCGAGAAGUAUGCGGAAUGCGUGGUGUAGCGGUGAAAUGCAUAGAUAUCACGCAGAACUCCGAUUGCGAAGGCAGCAUACCGGCGCCCGACUGACGCUGAGGCACGAAAGCGUGGGGAUCGAACAGGAUUAGAUACC